rnacentral:tRNA from 1 species
UAGGAUUUAGUGUAUGUGGUAGCACGAAGAUUUUUGAAUUCUUAGGGUUAGGUUCAAUUCCUAUAGUCCUAG